UACAGAGGGGGCAAGCGUUAUUCGGAAUUAUUGGGCGUAAAGGGCGCGUAGGCGGCCUGGCAAGUGGAAGGUGAAAUCCCUCGGCUUAACCGAGGAACUGCCCUCCAAACUGCUUGGCUUGAGUCCGGGAGAGGUGAGUGGAAUUCCCCAGUGUAGCGGUGAAAUGCGUAGAUAUUGGGAGGAACACCAGUGGCGAAGGCGGCUCACUGGACCGGAACUGACGCUGAGGCGCGAAAGCGUGGGGGAGCAAAACGGG
rnacentral:rRNA from 1 species